GAAAAAUGAACUCACACAUAUAGGGUUUGUUGAUUGUUGACAAGGGUACUACAAUCAUUCAAUUAGCAAAGCAGUAUCUUUUCAGCAAAUAGUGCUGGGACAGUUAGAUAGCCAAGUAGCUCACACCACACACAAAACGUAAAUUGUAAUGAAUGAAGCACAAAACCACAAGCAGCAGAAUUAGAGAACCAUCAGAGAGCAAGAAAGGAGAUCUUCCAGGCCUGGGGGUAGGCAGUGCCUUCUCAGAUGUACUAGUAAAAAAAAUGGAAGAAUGGCUGGGAGCAGAAUAUUUGGGGAGUGGUAUGGGGUCACCUUCAUUUCAUCUGUCGAGCCAAGUAUGAGAGUGCUGGCACACUCUCCAUGGAAGAUUCCAGCCCCCACCCUCUUGCUUUAUGGUUUAAUGCUCACUUAUAUGAGCCCAGCAACAGCCCCACAGGUGAACUGAGCUGGCAGGUAUGUCCCAACCCUGCACAAGCCACUGCUCUGUCACAAGGUGUUGUUGGAUAGAGGUCAGAGUCAGGAGAGAUCAUGCAGGCUAGGUCUUGUUCUCUGUGGUCAAUCUGAUCAUGAUACUGCAGCCGAGGGCACAUGCUCUUGGCCCAGUUUCCCAGGCACAGCCCAAGAGCUCAGCUUUGGAAACCAUGUAGCAGGUUUUGAACCAGGAUCUGAAGGUCUCUGGGUUAAAGCAGUAGCUCCUAGAAGCCAAGAGUGCUGAUGCAGUCAAUGAGCUAAGUGUAAACUGUCAGUGUGAGGAGGAAAUUCCUGUGGAAUUCAUAAGUUGGAAGCAAAAAAAGUUUAUUCCAAUGGUUUGCUAUACUCUGUAGAAAUCAAGACAGGCCAGGAGAGGGCCUAGGGGGGAGACAUAAAUAACUGUUGAUAUUCAACAGACCAUAACCAGUGUGAGUCAAGUGCAUGGAGAUUCAGCACAGAUUUCUCGCCCUCGAAAGAAGAUGGUACUUUUGUACACAGGACCCAGUGGGUAGGAGGGGACCUCCAAGAAGCCAGUGUCACAUUUCUCCAAUGACCAAUGUGACUGACCUUAGAGGACCCCUCAAGUGCUCCGGGGCUUCUGGAACAGGCAGUUCAGCAACACCAGCCCCUGGCAGGUUCACCUCAGGACACGGGAGGAGCCUUGAAAAUCUCUUGUUCUGACAAACACUUCAUCGAGUGUUUCCUGACUCUCUGUCCAUGAUAAACCUCAAGCCAGGCACAGAUUCUAACUGGAGCAAGAACUGCCAUGUUGGGAGAAAUCAUUGUUGUAGCUGAAAGAUGAGAGGCUCAUGUAGAAAAGGUGAGCUGAGAAGCCCUCAGUCAAGCCCCUGGGCCCAAAGGGUGGGUACUAGGGUCUCUUAAAGACACCUGCCCUGGGGACUUCAAUCCAGAGCUGGCCUCUUUGGCAGCUGGAGAGACAGCUGCACAAGGAGCCCUCCCUUCCUACCCCUUCCUCCUUGUCACCUGUUAUAACAGAGGCUCCUUUGCCUCUGUUUACUAAGCAAACAUUCCUGAUCAUCCACCUGGGACCAUAGCAGCUCCUUUGGUCAGCAUCUGUGGCCAGUGAUCAUGAGUGCAGAGGGUAACAUGAGUCCCUAUGUCCUGUUUCAGAAGAUCUCUGUGCCUGCUCAUAUGAGCGCAUCAGAGAUACUCGGGACCCAUCAACAAUUUGCCAUUCGGGAAACGUGGUCAGCUAAUGUGCCUGUACCCCAGCAACAGAACACCCUCCCCCACGAGUGUGUACACACCAGUGUGCCCGUGCAACGUGGUUCUGGGUAGGCAGCUUGGGCCAGCAGUCCUGUAACCUGGCAGCAUGAAGUCGACACCUACAUUUUUAUCCUAACAAACUACAAUGGUUUUUGAAACUUUUAGGGGGUAGUGGGAGUCGUUUUUGUGUUUGACAAAGACUCAUGACAUUGGCCAGGCUGGCUUUGAACUCAAGAUCUUCUUGCCUUCAGCUCUCUGGCCUCAUCCUCAGCCAUCCUCCUGGUUUCUGCUCCUAUGUGCUACAGAUGUGUGUGACCACACCUGGCCAAACUAUGAAACCUUUAAAACACUCACAAUCUAUGUUUUGGUCUAUAAUUUAAAAAUAAACUUCAUCAGUCCCCACC
rnacentral:lncRNA from 1 species